AACGAACGCUGGCGGCAUGCCUAACACAUGCAAGUCGAACGAAGCUUGAUAAUAGAUUUCUUCGGAAUGAAAUUUGAUAUGACUGAGUGGCGGACGGGUGAGUAACGCGUGAGCAACCUGCCCUUCGGAGGGGGAUAGCGUCUGGAAACGGACGGUAAUACCGUAUAACGUAUUGAGAUGGCAUCAUUUUAAUACCAAAGCUGAGGCGCCGAAGGAUGGGCUCGCGUCUGAUUAGAUGGUUGGUGGCGUAACGGCCCACCAAGUCGACGAGCAGUAGCCGGACGGAGAGGUUGAACGGCCACAUUGGGACUGAGACACGCGCCAGACUCCUACGGGAGGCAGCAGUGGGGAAUAUUGCACAAUGGGGGAAACCCUGAUGCAGCAACGCCGCGUGAAGGAAGACGGUUUUCGGAUUGUAAACUUCUGUUCUUAGUGAAGAUAGUGACGGUAGCUAAGGAGCAAGCCACGGCUAACUACGUGCCAGCCGCCGCAGUAAAAC
rnacentral:rRNA from 1 species